UACGUAGGGUCCGAGCGUUGUCCGGAAUUAUUGGGCGUAAAGGGCUCGUAGGCGGUUCGUCACGUCGGGAGUGAAAACUCGGAGCUUAACUCCGAGCCUGCUUCCGAUACGGGCAGACUAGAGGUAGGCAGGGGAGAGCGGAACUCCUGGUGUAGCGGUGGAAUGCGCAGAUAUCGAGAGGAACACCUGCGGCGAAGGCGGGUUGCUGGGCCGACACUGACGCUGAUGCGCGAAAGCCAGGGGAGCGAACGGG
rnacentral:rRNA from 1 species